UGCCUGGCCGCGGCUGCGCAGGGGUGCCCGGCGGGGCGCUUCCCGGCUGCGCGCCGAGCCUGGCUCCCGGCAGAGAGUGGCCGCAGACUCGGGCGGAGCGGCGGCCUGAAAGGCAAGCCAGUCCCCGCCGCUGCCUCCAGCCAGCCUCGGUCCUCCGGGGGUCACCUGCACAGGCUCCGCCUGGCACGGCGAGUGGCACCCGCGGGCACUCGGGCCCCGCGGGCCGCAAGGAUGCUGGAGAGAGGACGAGCCGUGAGUGGCGGGGAAGGGGUCCCGGAGCCUGGCCCCGCGGAAAAAAAGGCGAAAAGUGGAAAGUUGUGUUCAGCAUGUGUUUUGCACGAAUGGUUGUAGCGGCAGCAAGAUGGGCCUGGCCAACUUCCUUCCUGGAACCACUCAGCAUCUCAGCAUCUCCACAUCUCAGCACCUCCGACUCUCAGCAUCCAGCUUGAGCUGUGGUGCAUCUGUGCUUUAUCUGGUUUAUUUCAUGGACCUAAGGGCCGCAUCUACAACAACACCGAUCCUUUAACCCACUCUGUGGGGCUGGGGAACAACCUGUGUCCUGGUGCUGCUGAGACGCCACCAAUCCCGUUGGGCUACAGCAGAACGCCUGGAGAGGAUAUUCUAAUAUAUUGAAUCAUUGAGAAAUGAUAAAAGGAGAAGUCCAUACACAUUCAUGAUUUUCCUUUUUUUAAAAAAUUUUUUGAGAAUGAUAACAUCCCCUGAGGAGCCCUCUUGAAGGAAGAGAACAGAGACGUCAGCAUCCUGGGUUGUUCUCAUGCCCACAGACACUUUCCGUGGGGGAGCAGUGACCCCAAGCGUGGCCCGGGGUCCUCAAGACCCUCUCCAAAAGGGUUCCUAGGGUCAAAACUAUUUUCAUAAUACCAGAGAUUUGUUCCUUUUUCAGUCUCCUGCUCUCCUGAUUGUACAGGGGAAUUUUCUAGAAGCUGAUAGUGCAGACUGAUUGAGCAGACUGACUACAGACUGAUGGUGCAGACUGACGGUGGAGACUAACUGCAGACUGAGUGCAGACUGAUGGUGCAGACUGAUUGCAGACUGAUUGCAGAAGCAGCUAUGAACAUUCACCUGUAUUGUUAGCCAGAUAUUACAGCAAUUUGCAGAAAUGGAAGCAAUGUUACUCUCCUGCCUAGGUUUUUUGGUUUUGUUUUGGAAACCAUAGUUAUAUUUUCACAAAAAUGUGUGACUGGCAUGACCAGGUAAUAAUAGCUUAUUAUAAUUGUAAUGUUUAAAUGAACUACAUGGUUUAAAAGUU